GAUGAAGAACGUAGCGAAAUGCGAUAAGUAAUGUGAAUUGCAGAAUUCAGUGAAUCAUCGAAUCUUUGAACGCACAUUGCGCCCGCCAGUAUUCUGGCGGGCAUGCCUGUCUGAGCGUCAUUUCAACCCUCAUGCCCCUAGGGCGUGGUGUUGGGGAUCGGCCAAAGCCCGCGAGGGACGGCCGGCCCCUAAAUCUAGUGGCGGACCCGUCGUGGCCUCCUCUGCGAAGUAGUGAUAUUCCGCAUCGGAGAGCGAUGAGCCCCUGCCGUUAAACCCCCAACUUUCCAAGGUUGACCUCAGAUCAGGUAGGAAGACCCGCUGAACUUAAGCAUAUCAAUAAGCGGAGGA
rnacentral:misc_RNA from 1 species